GGUACCAGUACGGUAGGAAAAUCCGCCGUGCAAUGGGAAGACGUGAUGUGGAGUGAAAUAUAGUAACGAAGCCCGUGAGCCAUGCGUCAAGAAAAGCCGCUAUUGUUUAUACUGUACCCGUACCGUAAACCGACACAGGUGGAUGAGGAGAGAAUCCUAAGGCCGGCGGAAGAAGUAUUGCCAAGGAACUCGGCAAAAUGGCCCCGUAACUUAGGGAGAAGGGGUGCCUGCGAGAGCAGGCCGCAGAGAAUAGGCUCAAGCAACUGUUUAGCAAAAACACUGGUCUAUGCGAAACCGAAAGGUGAGGUAUAUGGGCUGACGCCUGCCCGGUGCUGGAAGGUUAAGAGGAGAGGUUAGACGCAAGUCGAAGCUUUGAAUUUAAGCCCCAGUAAACGGCGGCCGUAACUAUAACGGUCCUAAGGUAGCGAAAUUCCUUGUCGGGUAAGUUCCGACCCGCACGAAAGGCGUAAUGAUUUGAGCGCUGUCUCGGCAAUACAUCCGGUGAAAUUGAAGUGCCAGUGAAGAUGCUGGCUACCCGCGCCAGGACGGAAAGACCCCAUGGAGCUUUACUCCAGUUUGGCACUGGGGUCCGGUGUUGCAUGUACAGGAUAGGUGGGAGGCUGAGAGAUAGUGACGUCAGUUGCUAUGGAGCCGCUGUUGGGAUACCACCCUUGUGAUAUUGGGCUUCUAACCAGCCGCCGUGAACCGGCGGUGGGACAAUGCCAGGCGGGGAGUUUGACUGGGGCGGUCGCCUCCGAAAGGGUAUCGGAGGCGCCCAAAGGUUCCCUCAGAAUGGACGGAAACCAUUCGAAGAGUGCAAAGGCAGAAGGGAGCUUGACUGCGACACCGACGGGUGGAGCAGGUACGAAAGUAGGGCUUAGUGAUCCGGUGGUAUUAAGUGGGAAUGCCAUCGCUCAACGGAUAAAAGCUACCCUGGGGAUAACAGGCUUAUCACUCCCAAGAGUUCACAUCGACGGAGUGGUUUGGCACCUCGAUGUCGGCUCAUCGCAUCCUGGGGCUGUAGUAGGUCCCAAGGGUUGGGCUGUUCGCCCAUUAAAGCGGUACGCGAGCUGGGUUCAGAACGUCGUGAGACAGUUCGGUCCCUAUCCGGCGUGGGCGCAGGAUAUCUGAGAGGAGCUGUCCUUAGUACGAGAGGACCGGGAUGGACGGACCGCUGGUGGACCGGUUGGCUUGCCAAAGCCAUGGCCGGGUAGCCAAGUCCGGAAGGGAUAAACGCUGAAGGCAUCUAAGCGUGAAGCCCCCCUCAAGAUGAGAUAUCCCAUUCUUUAAGAAGUAAACCCCCUUGAAGACGACGAGGUAGAUAGGGCAGAGGUGGAAGUGUGGUAACACAUGGAGCUGACUGUUACUAAUCGGGUGAGGGCUUGACCU
rnacentral:rRNA from 1 species